CCUACGGGAGGCAGCAGUGAGGAAUAUUGGUCAAUGGACGAGAGUCUGAACCAGCCAAGUAGCGUGAAGGAUGACUGCCCUAUGGGUUGUAAACUUCUUUUAUAGGGGAAUAAAAUGUUCCACGGGUGGGAGUUUGUAUGUACCAUAUGAAUAAGGAUCGGCUAACUCCGUGCCAGCAGCCGCGGUAAUACGGAGGAUGCGAGCGUUAUCCGGAUUUAUUGGGUUUAAAGGGUGCGUAGGCGGGCUAUCAAGUCAGCGGUAAAAUCGCGGGGCUCAACUCCAUCCAGCCGUUGAAACUGGUUGUCUUGAGUGGGCGAGAAGUAUGCGGAAUGCGUGGUGUAGCGGUGAAAUGCAUAGAUAUCACGCAGAACUCCGAUUGCGAAGGCAGCAUACCGGCGCCCUACUGACGCUGAAGCACGAAAGCGUGGGUAUCGAACAGGAUUAGAUACCCUUGUAGUC
rnacentral:rRNA from 1 species